GUUUGUCGGCAGUGCUCGCAGGGGGUGACUGUACCGUUGGACAGAGGAUUUCCUUUGUUUGUACGAGAAGACGUGAUUCAGAAACGUUUCCUCAUGGGGCUGUUCAGAGGAUCGUCUAUGCAGUGUGAUGCGACUCAGUGUACAGGUUACUUCACAGCUGCCUCGACAUACUCACGAAAUGGGUGCAGAACCUGCGUAACGCCCAGAAACUUUGAUUACCAUAGCGCCUCCAGAAAGUAAACGCAUAUGUGUCACGUGGGAUUUUUAAAGGAAACGAUCGCCACAUAUCAUGAAACACGCGGGGACUUUUCAAACCGUCAAGCAUCUACUCCGAUAGCCUGUCAGUAUAGCAGUACGACCCCUCUUUGUGCAUCGGAAAACCCGAAAGAGAGCUCAUGAACGUCCUUGUGAAUCGAGUGACGGUGUAGAACAAAGUGUAGGCAUCUAUAGACCAACUCAAGAGAGGUCU